rnacentral:rRNA from 1 species
AUUGAACGCUGGCGGCAGGCUUAACACAUGCAAGUCGAACGGUAACAUAAAGAAGCUUGCUUCUUUGAUGACGAGUGGCGGACGGGUGAGUAAUGCUUGGGAAUCUAGCUUAUGGAGGGGGAUAACUACGGGAAACUGUAGCUAAUACCGCGUAGUAUCGAGAGAUGAAAGUGUGGGACCUUCGGGCCACAUGCCAUAGGAUGAGCCCAAGUGGGAUUAGGUAGUUGGUGAGGUAAAGGCUCACCAAGCCGACGAUCUCUAGCUGGUCUGAGAGGAUGACCAGCCACACUGGGACUGAGACACGGCCCAGACUCCUACGGGAGGCAGCAGUGGGGAAUAUUGCGCAAUGGGGGCAACCCUGACGCAGCCAUGCCGCGUGAAUGAAGAAGGCCUUCGGGUUGUAAAGUUCUUUCGGUAGCGAGGAAGGCAUUUAGUUUAAUAAACUGGAUGAUUGACGUUAACUACAGAAGAAGCACCGGCUAACUCCGUGCCAGCAGCCGCGGUAAUACGGAGGGUGCGAGCGUUAAUCGGAAUAACUGGGCGUAAAGGGCACGCAGGCGGUGACUUAAGUGAGGUGUGAAAGCCCCGGGCUUAACCUGGGAAUUGCAUUUCAUACUGGGUCGCUAGAGUACUUUAGGGAGGGGUAGAAUUCCACGUGUAGCGGUGAAAUGCGUAGAGAUGUGGAGGAAUACCGAAGGCGAAGGCAGCCCCUUGGGAAUGUACUGACGCUCAUGUGCGAAAGCGUGGGGAGCAAACAGG